GAUGAACGCUGGCGGCGUGCCUAAUACAUGCAAGUCGAGCGAACGGACGAGAAGCUUGCUUCUCUGAUGUUAGCGGCGGACGGGUGAGUAACACGUGGAUAACCUACCUAUAAGACUGGGAUAACUUCGGGAAACCGGAGCUAAUGCCGGAUAAUAUUUUGAACCGCAUGGUUCAAAAGUGAAAGACGGUCUUGCUGUCACUUAUAGAUGGAUCCGCGCUGCAUUAGCUAGUUGGUAAGGUAACGGCUUACCAAAGCAACGAUGCAUAGCCGACCUGAGAGGGUGACCGGCCACACUGGAACUGAGACACGGUCCAGACUCCUACGGGAGGCAGCAGUAGGGAAUCUUCCGCAAUGGGCGAAAGCCUGACGGAGCAACGCCGCUUGAUUGAUGAAGGUCUUCGGAUCUUAAAACUCUGUUAUUAGGGAAGAACAUAUGUGUAAGUAACUGUGCACAUCUUGACGGUACCUAAUCAGAAAGCCACGGCUAACUACGUG
rnacentral:rRNA from 1 species